AUNNUUUGAUCAUGGCUCAGAAUCAACGCUGGCGGCGUGCCUCAGACAUGCAAGUCGAACGCGAAAGUCCCCUUCGGGGGGCGAGUAGAGUGGCGCACGGGUGAGUAACACGUAGGUAAUCUACCUUUGGAUUGGGAAUAACCACCGGAAACGGUGGCUAAUACCGAAUAAUGCAGCGGCACCUAAUGGUGACAGUUGUUAAAGCGGGGGAUCGAAAGACCUCGCGUCUGAAGAGGAACCUGCGGCAGAUUAGCUAGUUGGUAAGGUAACGGCUUACCAAGGCGAUGAUCUGUAGCCGGCCUGAGAGGGCGGUCGGCCACACUGACACUGACAUACGGGUCAGACUCCUACGGGAGGCAGCAGUCGGGAAUUUUGGGCAAUGGCCGAAAGGCUGACCCAGCAACGCCGCGUGAAGGAUGAAAUCUUUCGGGAUGUAAACUUCGCAAGUCAGGGAAGAAUAAACUGAUGCUAACACCAUCGGAUAUGACGGUACCUGACGUAAGCCCCGGCUAACUCCGUGCUANCAGCCGCGGUAAUACC
rnacentral:rRNA from 1 species